CCUACGGGGGGCAGCAGUGGGGAAUAUUGGGCAAUGGGCGCAAGCCUGACCCAGCAACGCCGCGUGAAGGAAGAAGGCUUUCGGGUUGUAAACUUCUUUUCGCAGGGACGAAGCAAGUGACGGUACUUGAGGAAUAAGCCACGGCUAACUACGUGCCAGCAGCCGCGGUAAUACGUAGGGGGGCAGCGUUAUCUGGAUGUACUGGGUGUAAAGGGCGUGUAGGCGGGACUGCAAGUCAGAUGUGAAAACCACGGGCUCAACCUGUGGCCUGCAUUUGAAACUGUGGUUCUUGAGUACUGGAGAGGCAGACGGAAGUCCUGGUGUAGCGGUGAAAUGCGUAGAUAUUAGGAGGAACACCAGUGGCGAAGGCGGUCUGCUGGACAGCAACUGACGCUGAGGCGCGAAAGCGUGGGGAGCAAACAGGAUUAGAUACCCUUGUAGUC
rnacentral:rRNA from 1 species